AACGAACGCUGGCGGCAUGCCUAACACAUGCAAGUCGAACGAUUGCCUUCGGGUGAUAGUGGCGCACGGGUGCGUAACGCGUGGGAAUCUGCCCUUAGGUUCGGAAUAACAGCUGGAAACGGCUGCUAAUGCCGGAUGAUAUCGCGAGAUCAAAGAUUUAUCGCCUGAGGAUGAGCCCGCGUUGGAUUAGGUAGUUGGUGGGGUAAAGGCCCACCAAGCCGACGAUCCAUAGCUGGUCUGAGAGGAUGAUCAGCCACACUGGGACUGAGACACGGCCCAGACUCCUACGGGAGGCAGCAGUGGGGAAUAUUGGACAAUGGGCGCAAGCCUGAUCCAGCAAUGCCGCGUGAGUGAUGAAGGCCCUAGGGUUGUAAAGCUCUUUUACCCGGGAAGAUAAUGACUGUACCGGGAGAAUAAGCCCCGGCUAACUCCGUG
rnacentral:rRNA from 1 species